rnacentral:rRNA from 1 species
CCUGGGUAAAGCUAAUCUUCCCAGGGUUAGUCGGAUCCUAAGGUGAGGGUGAAAGCCGUAACCGAUGGAAAACAGGUUAAUAUUCCUGUACUUGUUGUGUAGCGCGAUGGAGGGACGCAGGAAGAUAGGCGGGCCGGGUGUUGGAUAUCCCGGUGCAAGCGUGUAGGAAUAUCCGGUAGGCAAAUCCGCCGGACGAAUCUGAGACGCGAGUCCGUGGGCGCAAGCCCUGAAGCCGUUGAGUCUAUGCUGCCUAGAAAAGCUCCUAAGUUUAUCCACAGCAAUCCGUACCGCAAACCAACUCAGGUGGGUGGGAUGAACAAUCCAAGGCGCUCGAGAGAACUCUGGCCAAGGAACUCGGCAAAAUAACCCCGUAACUUCGGAAGAAGGGGUGCUCUCUAGGGUGACAUGUUUAACAUAUGAAGCCCCGGGGAGCCGCAGUGAAUUGGUGGUGGCGACUGUUUACUAAAAACAUAGGUCUGUGCGAAGUCCUAAAGACGACGUAUACGGACUGACGCCUGCCCGGUGCUGGAAGGUUAAAAGGAGGGGGCAGCGCAAGCAAAGCUCCGAAUUGAAGCCCCAGUAAACGGCGGCCGUAACUAUAACGGUCCUAAGGUAGCGAAAUUCCUUGUCGGGUAAGUUCCGACCUGCACGAAUGGCGUAACGAUCUCCACACUGUCUCGGCCAGAGACUCGGUGAAAUUGCAGUCGCGGUGAAAAUUCCGUGUACCCGCAGAAAGACGGAAAGACCCUGUGCACCUUUACUAUAGCUUGACAUUGGAUUUUGGGCCUGCAUGUGUAGGAUAGGUGGGAGGCUGUGAACCCUGUACGCCAGUAUGGGGGGAGCCAUCCUUGAAAUACCACCCUUGCAUGUUUAAGAUCCUAACUUCUUCCGGUUAUCCCGGAGAAAGACAGUGUCUGGCGGGUAGUUUGACUGGGGCGGUCGCCUCCUAAAGUGUAACGGAGGCAUGCAAAGGUUCCCUCAGCCUGAUCGGAAACCAGGCGCUGAGUGCAAACGCAUAAGGGAGCUUGACUGUAAGAGAGACAUCUCGAACAGGAACGAAAGUUGGCGUUAGUGAUCCGGUGGUCCCGAAUGGAAGGGCCAUCGCUCAUUGGAUAAAAGGUACGCCGGGGAUAACAGGCUGAUCGCAUCCAAGAGUUCACAUCGACGAUGCGGUUUGGCACCUCGAUGUCGGCUCAUCACAUCCUGGGGCUGAAGCAGGUCCCAAGGGUACGGCUGUUCGCCGUUUAAAGUGGUACGCGAGCUGGGUUUAAAACGUCGUGAGACAGUUUGGUCCCUAUCUUCUGUGGGCGAAGGAGAAUUGAGAGGGCCUGUCCCUAGUACGAGAGGACCGGGAUGGACGCACCCCUGGUGAUCCUGUUGUCGCGCCAGCGGCAUAGCAGGGUAGCUAUGUGCGGAAGGGAUAACCGCUGAAAGCAUCUAAGCGGGAAGCCUGCCUCAAGAUAAGUUCUCCCCUCGAAAGAGCUGAAGGGCCCGGGUAGACUACCCGGUCGAUAGGCUGGAGGUGUAAGCGCGGCGACGUGCUCAGCUGACCAGUACUAAUAGCCCGAGCGGCUUAUUUUU